GGAUCAUUACCGAGUUUACAACUCCCAAACCCAAUGUGAACGUUACCAAACUGUUGCCUCGGCGGGAUCUCUGCCCCGGGUGCGUCGCAGCCCCGGACCAAGGCGCCCGCCGGAGGACCAACCAAAACUCUUAUUGUAUACCCCCUCGCGGGUUUUUUUAUAAUCUGAGCCUUCUCGGCGCCUCUCGUAGGCGUUUCGAAAAUGAAUCAAAACUUUCAACAACGGAUCUCUUGGUUCUGGCAUCGAUGAAGAACGCAGCGAAAUGCGAUAAGUAAUGUGAAUUGCAGAAUUCAGUGAAUCAUCGAAUCUUUGAACGCACAUUGCGCCCGCCAGUAUUCUGGCGGGCAUGCCUGUCCGAGCGUCAUUUCAACCCUCGAACCCCUCCGGGGGGUCGGCGUUGGGGAUCGGCCCUCCCUUAGCGGGUGGCCGUCUCCGAAAUACAGUGGCGGUCUCGCCGCAGCCUCUCCUGCGCAGUAGUUUGCACACUCGCAUCGGGAGCGCGGCGCGUCCACAGCCGUUAAACACCCAACUUCUGAAAUGUUGACCUCGGAUCAGGUAG
rnacentral:rRNA from 2 species